rnacentral:rRNA from 1 species
UACGUAGGGGGCUAGCGUUGUCCGGAUUUAUUGGGCGUAAAGAGCGUGUAGGCGGCCAGGUAGGUCUGCUGUGAAAACUCGAGGCUCAACCUCGAGACGUCGGCGGAAACCAUCUGGCUAGAGUCCGGAAGAGGAGAGUGGAAUUCCUGGUGUAGCGGUGAAAUGCGCAGAUAUCAGGAAGAACACCCGUGGCGAAGGCGGCUCUCUGGGACGGUACUGACGCUGAUACGCGAAAGCGUGGGGAUCAAACAGG